UGGGGGCAGCAGGCUUCCAGCGGGCAGAUGGCAUCGCCCCUGCAGGCAGCCAUGCAGCCUGAGCCCAAGGAGCCCCGGGGCCCCCAGAGCGAGGGGCCACUCCCGGGGCCGCCCAGCAUCACCCACGGUCCACGAGCAUCGCUCUGCCAACACGGCGAUGCGCCUGCACAGGAAAACGAGAGAGAGGAAUAGAGAAACCGAAGCAAAUGUGCCAUUAUUCCAGAACAAACAGACCGUCAGGCCCGGUCACCAGCAUGAGCGACAUCAAAAGGUGCCAUGGCAACCGCACAAACAUGCGCCAGGAGGCAGGGGGGCGGCGGGGGAGCCUGGGGUUUGCAGGAGACGGACCAGCAGCCCAGAGCACGCGGAAUUGCCGUGAGCAGGAGGCCGCUCCGCUGGCUUCAGGCCUGGCCCGGACUGGGAACGUGACAGCCACCAAACAGACGCUCAGAGGUUUCCAGGACAGAAUCGUGUCUCUGUCUUGCUCACCGACGUCUCCCCAAUACCAAGGAAGACGGCUGGCAGGCAGCAAGCCAUCGAUAAACAUGUGGUGAAGGAGUGAGUGAGCAGAGACGCCGGCACAGCUUCUCAUUCCCUCCCUCCCUCCUUCCCUUCUCAGCGAAAAACCACUCUGUCUUUUA